rnacentral:sRNA from 1 species
CAUGAUUCAGUCAAGAACUGCUGGGUUGUAGCAUAUCUCUUCCUAUCAUCAACAUCUUCAGCUAUUCCAAUAACAGAUAGAAUAAGGGAAACUGCUGACAACAUAUUUACAGACUCUUCAGCUACAACAAUUACCUUCUCCUGUUUUGUAUUCUGGUGUCUAGCAUUAUCAGCUGUCAUAUCAAGAUACAAAUUGUGAUAGACGACGCACCGAGGAGAAGACGGAACUUGAGCGAUUUGGAUUCCUCGAGGCAUUCUUGACAUUGAUGCACAGCUGAAAGAAGCAGAUGAAGCAAAUGAGGCAGCGAAAAUAGCUGAAGAAUUAAGAAGACAAACGGUGAGCCCUAGAUUUGGAGGUUUGUUGGGUUAACAACCUAGGGUUUGAUGUGGAAGCGGAUUUGAACGGUGGAGAAGAAGAUUUAAUGGGUGACAACCCUAGAAAAAGGGGAAAACUACAAAUGAAUCGAAUAAUCGGUUCGAAUGUGAGAAGGAUCGGUUAAUAGGGGUUCAAAUAUGUGGAUAGGAGGUUCUAAUCGGUGAGAAGGGAAGACAUGGUUCGGUGAGGAAAACUUACGGUGCGAAAUCGUGAAGAAGAUGAAGUUUGUGUCAUGGUUGAUGAAGAUGAGGUUAGGUGAGGAGGGUCUCGAGGAGAAAAGGCAGUGUGGUGAAUGAUCCUUCGAGAAGAAACCCUAAGAAGGGCGUUGUUGUUUCGAGAGAGAAAUGGAAUUCUGAAGAAGUGGUUCACGUGAGAGUGAAUGUGAGAGGCAAUGAUGAUGUGGUGCGAGGGGUCUGAUGCGGGCCAAGCGGAAGUGAAGUGGCUGAUAGGAUAGCUGACGCGUGCCAAGUGCAUACGCCGGUUGAGGGAAAGAUGUUGAUAUGGAGAAGUGAUAAUUUGAAGUGUAAAUGGGAGAAUGAAGAUGGAGAGUGAAUGGAAGGUGGCCGGGGAGAAUCCCUUCGAUGCUCCGACCUUGACUUUCAAGGGUGAAUUGAUUCUAAAAUCAUUUCUACAAAAAUCCAAUUCAAUAUUCUUAAAAGUGCCUUACAAGAGGUGAUUGCAUGCUUAUAUAUAGGACUAAAAUGCCCUCUUAUCUACCACAUAUUUUACACCUGUUAAAAGAGGCUUUUUAUACAUUUUUUGAGCAAGAGCAU